CUUUAUGGGUUUUUACAUUAUAACUCGUUUUAAAGGACAUUGGCUUAUCUGCAAUCCCAUUGUUUGUUGUUUCAGGGAGAAAGGGGUCCUCGUGGUCCCAAUGGCGAUAAAGGGGAGAGAGGAGAUGACGUAAGCGUUCUUACUCUCUUUUUUUCACUUUUUUUAAGACUUGGAUUCUAAACAUGCAAUGUAGUAAUGUGUGACAGACCUGCUCUUACUAUUAUCUAAUAGUUUCUUUGAUCUUUUUAGGGUCUACCAGGACCAGAUGGCCCAAGAGGAGAAAGAGUAUUCAAGCAUUUAUAUUUACUUCUAUCUCAGUAGCUUGACGUGUGAAUGGGUGUAUUUCAUGCUGUUUGCAGAUGUAGGUCUUUUUUGCAAUUUUUAUAUAUGCAGGCGAUCUGAACGGAUGUGUUUUUCUAUUACAGGGUACACCUGGUGAGAAAGGUGAACAAGGUUCCCGUGGUAACAGAGGGCCCAGAGGCGACCCUGGUGAACCUGGGCCCCGGGGUGAACAAGGACGUGAGGGAUCAGCAGGGCCAAAUGGAGAGCCGGGCGAGAUAGGAAGGACAGGGGCACCAGGUUACCGUGGCGAUGAAGGUCCUACUGGGCCAGAGGUGGGUAAGGUUAACUACUCUAGAAUACCUUUCGACCUGAUCUAUUGCUGCAUCUUUGACUGAUCUACAUUUCCCAUGUUGCAUGUCUGUGCUUUAGGGAGGAAAAGGGCCCAGAGGAAUCAAAGGGGCCCCAGGAGACAGAGGCCUGAUGGGAGAGAGGGUGAGUUAAUCCUGUUGAUCUUCAGAACUGGUUUUAACUAACCAAAGGCAGUUGUCCAUUGCUGUAACCAAUUUAUUUUUCUUUUACCUGCUAAGGGUGAAGAUGGACCACCAGGAAAUGGAACCGUGGGUUGCCAUGGCUUCCAGGUACUGUAGAAGACCUCCCAAUUUAUUAAACAUAUUCAGUGCAGAAUCUGUAUUGUUUAAGUGUGUGUGUUUGUGUCGUUUUAGGGUUAUCCUGGGCCCAGGGGAGAUCCAGGAUCACCUGGUGGAAAAGGAACCCCUGGACCCAAGGGAGAUGAUGGAGAGCCAGGUGAACCUGGAUCAGAUAAUAACAGACCAGGACCAGAUGGGCCUAGAGGACCCAAAGGUCACAGAGGACCGGAAGGAAGACUUGGACCAAAAGGAGAACCUGGGCCUCCAGGAACUGAUGUGAGUGAGUUUACUUUACACAAACUGUGUUUAACUGAAUGCACAAAUCUAAGAAAAGCACACAUUAUUGGAUGUAGUCUAAUGCAAAUGUUCUAGCACAGUUCCUGUAUGAAGAGACAAAGAGCAGUGCAAAUGGUGACAGUGCUCUUGAUAAAAAAUGAUUCUGGGCAUUCCACAAUUCACUUUACGCUAUUUUUGUGAAUUCCACAUCGCUGACAGUUAGUAGCGAUGUAAAUAUCUAGCCAAUACAUACUAGAUUACACCCUUUGUGAAAUAAAUGCAUCUUUGUUAGCACACAAAUGUUGGCUUGUUCCAAUUGCAUAUGCAAAGAAAUUAAUGCAUUACACUAUAGAUGAGCUGUCUUUAAGAGUGACAUUUAGAUUUUGUACAUUUAAAAAAACAAUUACAUUUCUAUAAUGCAUUGUUUUUUUUAUCCCUCAAAACAUUACAUUUUGACCAAUAUAAAAUUAAACAGGCUGUUCUACUGUUCACUACUGUGCCUUUAAGACAUCUGUUUAAACAAAUAUUUUCACAUAUGUCUUUAACAUUCCAUUGUGACAAGUUUACUAAGCAAUCUGUGCUAAAAUGUGCUGCAUAAACUCUUAAAAUCACACUGACAAAGGACCUUAAACUUCAGCUGCUCAUUUCUACUCGUUCUUCAGAAGGAUCUGCAGAGUUGUAGGUGCUACACCACCAGAAACAUUUUACAUUUAUUAUUAGUUAUUCUGGUGUUUAGGAAUAUUAUAAUCUCUCUCUUAGUACUGUGAAAAGUUUUUUUAGUGGAGAGUAAAGGUUUUUUUUUUUUUUUAUUUAGUAACUUAACUUAACUUUUUUUAUACUAAAAGUAGAAGGUUUUUAGUUUUUUUUUUUUUAGUUAACAACUUUUUUUAUCAAAAGAUCUGGAAAUCUAAUUCUUCAUUACCUCUUUCAUCCUUCAGCACAAGAGGAAAUGCACUUUUAAAAAGUGUAUUAGAAGUAAUUGUGAGUCUUUGGGGUGUGUUGUGCAGAAAGUGCAGCAGAAUUUCCUGUAAUUAAAACAACAUGGAUUUGUGGCUCCAUUUUGUGAUACAAAAUGGCAACAGAGAAAAUCAGUUGCAGAGGCAGCAGUCUUCUCUAUUACUCUUUCUCUCUGUCUCUCUCUUUGUAGGAAUGUGAGAUUCUGGAUAUCAUCAGGAAGAUGUGCUGUGAGUAGACCUGUUUUUUGUAUUUUUACCCAUGACUAUUUCAUUUCACUACCUCCAUAAAUGGCAUACUGCCUGUCACCCACAUUGAUUUAACAGUGUAAUGUUGAUUUGUGCCAUGAAGUGAUGAUACAGCAAUCCACCUUGCCAGCUCAUUGUUCACAAGAACUCAUUCAGUGUGUUCAUUCAGUGUUCACAACUCAGUUUUCAAAAACUCGACCAAUAGAGAGAAUUGGGUAAGGCGUGAAGAAAUGAGAAAAAUACUUAAAGACACUAAGUAAUACCACCAUUUUUAUAUAAAUGUGCUUUUCUCCCAAAACACUGUGGAAGAAAUCAUGCAUUCAUAUAAUAUGUCAUAUGUAAAUAAUUAUCCAGAUUAUUAAGUCACAGAAUCAUCUCUCAAUUGUUUUUGAAAGGAUAUUCAUUAUUUGGUUUUAUAACUCUUGUUGGAGCCGUAGCCUUUAACCCAGAAUGGAUUCAUUUAAAUGCGCAUAUUGUGCACGUUUAUCAUAAACGUUAGUUUUGGAAGUUUAACUUAGAUAUUUAAUAUCACCAUCUAGGCAUGUGAAAGCAGGACUAAUCCAGCUGGAGAGAAAACAAAGGUUCAGUGUGAAAGCACACGCCAGUUUGAAGGAAGGGGAUUCAACAGUGUGGGCUGCUGUUUUACUUAAUAUGGCCCAUAUUUUUGGGAAAUUAAGUUUUUCCCCAUACGACCCUUGGGCUUUAGCCCUGUCCAUUGAUCUUGAGUUGCUGUUGUAAUAAUAAUAAUAAUAAUAAUAAUAAUAAUAAACUAAAAAAAAACUCUGACACUUGUUUAUAAGUUACAUUAGUCAUGUAUGAUUAAACGCUAUGAGUCAUAAAUAUAAAUCAGUGUUCAAAAAUGUAUUAUGAAUGAAACCUGAGGGGCCAGAAAAAAACUGACAAAAUUGUCCAAAAUAAAUAUCUGUUUCAGCCAACAAGACAAAUAGGCCAUAGAUUUGAGAUUAGGCUGCUUUGUGUCUGUUAGAGUUUUAUCUAUUUAUUUUUUACUCCCAAACAUAUUACUUUUGUGUUAUUCUGUCCUAGACUUUC
rnacentral:lncRNA from 1 species